UUUUUUUUGUCUAAACUUUAACUGCUAUGCAAAAGGGUAGCUUUUGUCAGCAUUAUUCAGAAGGCCAUUUUUUUGUUUGUUCGUUUGUUUUUUUUUGUUUGUUUUUCCUGAGACGGAGUCUCUCUCUGUCACCCUUCUACAGUCCCAUGAUGACUGCUGUCGAAUGCAUUUUGUUUACUGACUUGUCUCUAUCAUCUUUUCCUCCCUAAUGUCUGUGUUUCUCUGUGUCAGGCACUCAUGCUCCCUGAGAGGCAGGAACUAAUCACCAGCCAGGGGAAGAUACUCACACUG
rnacentral:lncRNA from 1 species